rfam:Rhodococcus sp. CTA-806 NODE_28_length_127233_cov_7.864_ID_55, whole genome shotgun sequence.
AGCGUUUUUCGCAGCGGCGGAGGUCGACCGCCGACUUCGGUGAUCGUCGACUACAUCGACGAGUACCGCCACCGCUUCGGGGUCGACCCGAUCUGCACCGUGCUCCGCGAACACGGCAUCAAGAUCGCCCCG